rnacentral:rRNA from 1 species
GCUUUCGGGCCCACUCCUCUGUGCGGGCCUGAGCUUGUCUUAUCUCAAGAGGUAAGCACGGUCAGGGCGGAGCAGCAUUUGGAUGGGAAAUUUCCUGUGAGCGCCAGGUGUUGCAAGCU